rnacentral:rRNA from 1 species
CCUACGGGAGGCUGCAGUGAGGAAUAUUGGUCAAUGGACGGAAGUCUGAACCAGCCAUGCCGCGUGCAGGAAGACGGCUCUAUGAGUUGUAAACUGCUUUUGUACAAGGGUAAACCUGAAUACGUGUAUUCUGCUGAAAGUACCGUACGAAUAAGGAUCGGCUAACUCCGUGCCAGCAGCCGCGGUAAUACGGAGGAUCCAAGCGUUAUCCGGAUUUAUUGGGUUUAAAGGGUGCGUAGGCGGAGUGAUAAGUUAGCGGUGAAAUGUCCGAGCUUAACUCGGGAACUGCCUCUAAUACUGUUGAUCUAGAGAGUAGGUGCGGUAGGCGGAAUGUAUGGUGUAGCGGUGAAAUGCUUAGAGAUCAUACAGAACACCGAUUGCGAAGGCAGCUUACCAAUCUAUAUCUGACGUUGAGGCACGAAAGCGUGGGGAGCAAACAGGAUUAGAUACCCCUGUAGUC